CUGAUCUGAUUAAGGUAAUCGUUACUGUCCGUAGCUUCACUAAUCGUGUGUCCAACAUCAUGCGUAUUCGCUAGAGAUUAUAAAGAAUUAUUUCCAAAAGAUACGGUUUAUGGUUGAGAAAAUCUUGACACGCAGUGUGUCUUUACUAUACAGAGAAGUGUCUCGAAUGAAGAAUGGAUUGUGGCGUCACCCGAAAGAAUCCGUAAAAAGCUAUCCUCUAUCCAUGAAUAUUCACGAUAAAACUGGAUCGAAAUAGGCUGCAUGCCUACGAUGGUUCGGAAUCUGGAGCUACGAUCUCUUGCCAGUGGAGUUAAUUGGUCACGCAGAAUUUUGCGGGUUACUGGAAUCGUGCUAAAACUGCCCCUAAACUGGAGGCCCGGAAAAUUACAAGUGUAACUGACAGUGAAGAUUAUUCCGGGAUUCAUGUCUUCAUUAAAAAACUGCUCUCGAUGUCGCUGGAUCGGCAUUGCCGGAAUGAGCACGCACAGCAGGAACAGCUAGCCAGACGCAAAAUUAGGAAUGUUCAUCGACGGAAUGGAAGAAAUGGAUCGAUGCCUUAACGUCAAAAACUCCCGCAUCACACGCAACAUACUGUUGUAUCAAAAAACCUUUGUGUGUGCUUGAUACCGAAAAACAACGUGCCCGUCACCAAGGAUGAGCAGGGAAUUGUGAUGAGCACCAAAAUAGUGACUUAAAAUGCUGUAGCAGCAAUCAUCAUGGGUGUGUCCUAAGAAAAACGAACGCCAGUGCUGGCGCUGUUGCUUGCCACACGCACUCGACUGGCUGUAGGUGAUGCUGCAACAACAGGCUGUAAGUGCUGCAGCUGCAACCGUCCAGGAUGUGGCCGGAGGAAUCGAACAACCGAAAAGAAACAGAAUAAAACACACAGAACCAGCUGGAAUUAAUGCAAUAGGAAUCGCCUGGAGUUGAUAUCAGCAACCGGCUGAAGGCAACAGCAUCAGUUUGAGGAUGGGCCUUUUGUCUUAGCUGGCUAAUGUCCUCGCAGAUUGCACUGGAAAACCUACUUACAACAAUGACAACCUCCAGUAAACCGCUAUGAUCGGCAUGAUGACGACGACGGAAACUAUGGCCAGUGGCGGAAACUGUCGAUCUCAAAAGAAGAGGAUUUAACUUUGUGUAUGCUCCUGUACCAUAUGAGAACAUUGAGUUUACUGUUAAGUUUAACCAGAGGGAAAUGAAACCGUACUCCCACGCGUUUACCUCGUCGCAUAGAGCCAGCAAUAACGACAUCUCCAGACCCGGUUCUGGUGUUCUGAUGAUCGUCCUAGAGUACCAAGACUUUCGGGGUAUCACCAUAUAUUGGUUAAAUAUUCUGAAAACGAAAUUUUGUUCUGGAUGAAUACUGCGAAAUAUUCUAUCUACAAUCAACUUCAGUUAAAAAUUUUCCUAGGCCACUAUUUACCGGAAACAUCAGCCAUAGCCGUACCGUUUGGAUGUCGAUAAAUUUCCCUCUACCAUGCUAUGAAUUUUCUUCGAACAUCUCAUUGAAACGAUUGAUUAUUUUGAAGGAUUUACGACUAGCGAUCCAGAAAUUCAUUUCGUUCCUGAUUGACUGACCAACACUAGCGAAUUCUCUGCUAUGCGACCAAGGACAGGAUCGACAUAUAUUAAGUUAGGAUGCGGUGUUGAAGACUGAAGAGUUGAAACUACUUCGAAUAUUGUGUCAUUAUCAAUCUAAGAAAAAAAUAUUUUAA